rnacentral:rRNA from 1 species
UACGUAGGGUGCAAGCGUUAUCCGGAAUUAUUGGGCGUAAAGAGCUCGUAGGCGGUUCAGUAAGUCAGGUGUGAAAUCUUUGGGCUUAACCCAAAGCGUGCACUUGAUACUGCUGUGACUUGAGUUCGGUAGGGGAGUGGGGAAUUCCUAGUGUAGCGGUGAAAUGCGCAGAUAUUAGGAGGAACACCGGUGGCGAAGGCGCCACUCUGGGCCGAAACUGACGCUGAGGAGCGAAAGCGUGGGUAGCAAACAGG